rnacentral:rRNA from 1 species
GGCUCAGAACGAACGCUGCUGGCGUGCUUAAACAUGCAAGUCGAGCGAGAAAGCCCGCAAGGGUGAGUAAAGCGGCGCACGGGUGCGUAACACGUGGGUAAUCUGCCCUGAAGCCCGGAAUAACUCGCCGAAAGGCGUGCUAAUGCCGGAUGAGACCACGGGGUCUUCGGAUCUCGCGGGAAAAGGUGGCCUCUGUACACAAGCUAUCACUUCAGGAUGAGCCCGCGGCCCAUCAGCUAGUUGGCGGGGUAAAGGCCCACCAAGGCAACGACGGGUAGCUGGUCUGAGAGCACGAUCAGCCACACUGGAACUGAGACACGGUCCAGACUCCUACGGGAGGCAGCAGUGGGGAAUCUUGCGCAAUGGGCGAAAGCCUGACGCAGCAACGCCGCGUGUGUGAUGAAGGUCUUCGGAUUGUAAAGCACUGUCGCGAGGGACGAAUAAGGGGCGAGCUAACAUCUCGUUCCGAUGACGGUACCUCGAGAGGAAGCACCGGCUAACUCUGUGCCAGCAGCCGCGGUAAUACAGAGGGUGCGAGCGUUGUUCGGAAUUAUUGGGCGUAAAGCGCGUGUAGGCGGCCAUGUAAGUUGGGUGUGAAAGCCCUCGGCUUAACCGAGGAAGUGCGCCCAAAACUGCAAGGCUUGAGUACCGGAGAGGGUGGCGGAAUUCCCGGUGUAGAGGUGAAAUUAGUAGAUAUCGGGAGGAACACCAGCGGCGAAGGCGGCCACCUGGACGGAUACUGACGAUGAGACGCGAAAGCGUGGGGAGCAAACAGGAUUAGAUACCCUGGUAGUCCACGCUGUAAACGAUGAGCGCUAGGUGUUGUGGGUGUUGACCCCCGCAGUGCCGCA